GAAACCGUUCAGGGGUAAACCUGAGAAACCCAAAAGAUCGAAUGGGGAGAUUCAACGUAGACGAGACUGGCUCCCGUUGGUGUUCGAUACCCCGAAAUGGGCCUUCGCGGUCCAAGACGAGGGUACGCCAUCUUCGGCGAACAACCGGUACCGUAGUCGUGCACUUCUCCCUUAGUAGAACGUCGCGACCCGUUGUGUGUCGGUCUUACGGCCUGAGCUUUUUACCUGUCGCGGCGUCUUCGUACGCUCGCGGCGGAGGCUCGGUCGCCUGGCCGGCUGCACGACGGUACUCUGACGGUAUAGGGCCGCAACCAAUCCAUUUGCAUGAAUGUGUGUGCGUCAGGCCCGCCGCAAGCUCGGACAGUUAUACCCGGUGUGUGUGGACUUAUGUGCCCUCCACGGGUCUGGCCAGCUGUUGGCUGGCGGUGUCCUUGGACUGGCCAAGCUUUGAAUUACCGGUCGGCGACGCUAUUGCUUUGGGUACUCUCAGGACCCGUCUUGAAACACGGACCAAGGAGUCCAACAUGUGCGCGAGUCAUUAGGAUCUUUUAAACCUAAAGGCGCAAUGAAAGUGAAAGUCGUCCUUAGCGUCGACCAAGGGAGGAUGGGCCGCAUAAACACAUCGGCCCCGCACUCCCGGGGCGUCUCGUUCUCAUCGCGAGAAGAGGCGCACCUAGAGCGUACACGUUGGGACCCGAAAGAUGGUGAACUAUGCCUGGUCAGGACGAAGUCAGGGGAAACCCUGGUGGAGGUCCGUAGCGAUUCUGACGUGCAAAUCGAUCGUCGGAACUGGGUAUAGGGGCGAAAGACUAAUCGAACCAUCUAGUAGCUGGUUCCCUCCGAAGUUUCCCUCAGGAUAGCUGGCACUCGCUCGUUCCUCGGUGAACGUGUGCGAGUUUCAUCUGGUAAAGCGAAUGAUUAGAGGCCUUGGGGCCGAAACGACCUCAACCUAUUCUCAAACUUUAAAUGGGUGAGAUCUCUGGCUUGCUUGAAUAAUGAAGCCAAGAGAUUUUUUGAAUCAGAGUGCCAAGUGGGCCAAUUUUGGUAAGCAGAACUGGCGCUGUGGGAUGAACCAAACGCAGAGUUAAGGCGCCUAAGUCGACGUUCAUGGGAUACCAUGAAAGGCGUUGGUUGCUUAAGACAGCAGGACGGUGGCCAUGGAAGUCGGAA
rnacentral:rRNA from 1 species